rnacentral:rRNA from 1 species
GACGAACGCUGGCGGCGUGCUUAACACAUGCAAGUCGAACGGAAAGGCCCUGCUUUUGUGGGGUGCUCGAGUGGCGAACGGGUGAGUAACACGUGAGUAACCUGCCCUUGACUUUGGGAUAACUUCAGGUAACUGGGGCUAAUACCGGAUAGGAGCUCCUGCUGCAUGGUGGGGGUUGGAAAGUUUCGGCGGUUGGGGAUGGACUCGCGGCUUAUCAGCUUGUUGGUGGGGUAGUGGCUUACCAAGGCUUUGACGGGUAGCCGGCCUGAGAGGGUGACCGGCCACAUUGGGACUGAGAUACGGCCCAGACGCCUACGGGAGGCAGCAGUGGGGAAUAUUGCACAAUGGGCGGAAGCCGGAUGCAGCAACGCCGCGUGCGGGAUGACGGCCUUCGGGUUGUAAACCGCUUUCGCCUGUGACGAAGCGUGAGUGACGGUAAUGGGUAAAGAAGCACCGGCUAACUACGUG